CGACUUCGGAAGGGGUGUAUUUAUUAGAUAAAAAACCAAUGCCCUUCGGGGCUCCUUGGUGAUUCAUAAUAACUUAACGAAUCGCAUGGCCUUGUGCCGGCGAUGGUUCAUUCAAAUUUCUGCCCUAUCAACUUUCGAUGGUAUGGUCUUGGCUUACCAUGGUUUCAACGGGUAACGGGGAAUUAGGGUUCUAUUCCGGAGAGGGAGCCUGAGAAACGGCUACCACAUCCAAGGAAGGCAGCAGGCGCGCAAAUUACCCAAUCCCGACACGGGGAGGUAGUGACAAUAAAUACUGAUACAGGGCUCUUUUGGGUCUUGUAAUUGGAAUGAGUACAAUUUAAAUCCCUUAACGAGGAACAAUUGGAGGGCAAGUCUGGUGCCAGCAGCCGCGGUAAUUCCAGCUCCAAUAGCGUAUAUUAAAGUUGUUGCAGUUAAAAAGCUCGUAGUUGAACCUUGGGCCUGGCUGGCCGGUCCGCCUCACCGCGUGCACUGGUCCGGCCGGGUCUUUCCUUCUGAGGAGCCGCAUGCCCUUCACUGGGUGUGUCGGGGAAUCAGGACUUUUACUUUGAAAAAAUUAGAGUGUUCAAAGCAGGCCUAUGCUCGAAUACAUUAGCAUGGAAUAAUAGAAUAGGACGUGUGGUUCUAUUUUGUUGGUUUCUAGGACCGCCGUAAUGAUUAAUAGGGAUAGUCGGGGGCAUCAGUAUUCAAUUGUCAGAGGUGAAAUUCUUGGAUUUAUUGAAGACUAACUACUGCGAAAGCAUUUGCCAAGGAUGUUUUCA
rnacentral:rRNA from 1 species